rnacentral:rRNA from 1 species
GACAGAGGGGGCAAGCGUUGCUCGGAAUUACUGGGCGUAAAGGGCGCGUAGGCGGGAUGGCAAGUCGGUCGUGAAAUCCCUCGGCUCAACCGAGGAACGUCGAUCGAUACUGCUGUUCUUGAGGAUUGCAGAGGAGACUGGAAUUCCCGGUGGUAGCGGUGAAAUGUGUAGAGAUCGGGAGGAACACCGGUGGCGAAGGCGGGUCUCUGGGGCAAUUCCUGACGCUGAGGCGCGAAAGCGUGGGGAGCAAACGGG